rnacentral:lncRNA from 1 species
UUACAGGCCCAUUCUCUGAAGAUGCCUCUGGAUCUUGGUAUAGAGGAGGCUGGUCUGUACAAAUUUGCUUGGGUGCCCCCUUCAUCUUCUUCUGUUAAUUGCUCUUCUUCCAAUUUUGUAUGCUCUAAUAAAGAUUCUUGUAAUCUUGAUUGUUCUUCUGAUCUAAAUCUUGUUGCUUUAUCUUCCAAUGUAAACAUUACUACUUGUCAUAAUAAAUUUGAUGAUAAUGACAUGAACUACAUUUGGCAUUUAAGACUGGCUCACAUUCCUUUUGCUCACAUUAAACACAUUUCUGCUUUAUCAGCCUUUUCCCUGUUCUGUUUGUCCUAUGGCUAGGCAAACUAGAUUACCUUUUCCUGACAGUUCCAUCAGUACCUGUAGACCUUUCCAGCUUAUUCGUGUGUAUACUUGGGGCCCUUAUCACACCCCUGCUUCUUCUGGUUGUAAAUAUUUUCUUACUAUAGUUGAUGAUUUCUCUAGAGCAACCUGGACACAUUUACUGGGGUCUAAAAGUAAUGCUUUCAGCCUUAUCAAGUCCUUUAUAUGUAUGGUCAAAACACAAUUUAAUGCCACUGUACAAACUGUCAGAAGUGAUAAUGCUUUUGAAUUAGGUUCUAGUCUUGCUGGUGUCUCUUUCUUUAAUCAACAAGGCAUCAUUUAUCAAACUACUUGUUCUCAUACUCCUCAACAAAAUGGUAUCGUGGAAAGAAAACAUAGAACCCUUCUUGAAGCAAGUAGAGCUUUACUUUUUCAAUCCAAUUUACCUAUUCAUUUUUAGGGGGACUGCCUAUUGACUGCCACCUACUUGCUUAAUAGGAUUCCCUCCAGACUUCUUCACAAUAAGUCUCCUUAUGAAGUAUUGCAUGGCCAAGCCCCUACUUAUUCUCAUUUAAGGGCUUUUGGCUGCCUUGCCUAUGCCACUGUACCUAUUCCACAAAGAGAUAAACUUCAACCUAGAGCUUUGUCUUGUGUUUUUCUGGGACAUCCCUUUGCCAAAAAGGGCUACAGGCUGUAUGACCUAACUACUAAGAAGUAUUUUGUGUCCAGAGAUGUUGUCUUUCAUGAAACCUGUUUUCCUUUUCAUGACCUAACUACUAAGAAGUAUGUUGUGUCCAGAGAUGUUGUAUUUCAUGAAACCUGUUUUCCUUUUCAUUCUGCUUCUUCUGUCCCUCCUCCUGCUUUUGUUUUCCUCCUCCUCCUGUUCCUUCCUCUGAUAUUCCAUGUUCUUAUUUUGUCCUGCCUACUUUCCCUUGUUCUUCUCCUCCUGUUUCUUCCCCUUCUGCUUCCAGCCCAGCUUCCCCUUCACUCCCUUCCUCUCUUUCCUCUCCUUCUGUUCCUCUUCCUGCUGUUCCUUCUCCUUCUUUUCCUACUUCUUCUUCUGUUGUUCCUACUGGACACAGAAGAUCUAGCAGACCACAUAAUCCUCCAUCUUAUCUCAAUGAUUAUGUUUGUCACUUGCCUUCUUUUUCUGGUUCCACUUCCUCUUCUUCUCCUUUGGAGUCUGAACCCCUCUUUUAUUCUCAAGCUGCCUCUGUUCCAGCUUGGCAGGAUGCCAUGAG